rnacentral:rRNA from 1 species
AGUGAACGCUGGCGGUAGGCCUAACACAUGCAAGUCGAACGGCAGCACAGUAAGAGCUUGCUCUUACGGGUGGCGAGUGGCGGACGGGUGAGGAAUACAUCGGAAUCUACUUUUUCGUGGGGGAUAACGUAGGGAAACUUACGCUAAUACCGCAUACGACCUACGGGUGGAAGCAGGGGAUCUUCGGACCUUGCGCGAUUGAAUGAGCCGAUGUCGGAUUAGCUAGUUGGCGGGGUAAAGGCCCACCAAGGCGACGAUCCGUAGCUGGUCUGAGAGGAUGAUCAGCCACACUGGAACUGAGACACGGUCCAGACUCCUACGGGAGGCAGCAGUGGGGAAUAUUGGACAAUGGGCGCAAGCCUGAUCCAGCCAUACCGCGUGGGUGAAGAAGGCCUUCGGGUUGUAAAGCCCCUUUGUUGGGAAAGAAAAGCAGCAGGUUAAUACCCCGCUGUUCUGACGGUACCCAAAGAAUAAGCACCGGCUAACUUCGUG